AAAUCAACAACCGAAAAACAUAACUGCAAUAUCUAAGCUACCCUCCCCUAAAAUACAUCAAGAAAGACAAAACCUAGAUAGAGCAAUUAACUAUCCCUAUACUACUCCGACUGAGCAAAAGCAAGAUCAGUGCUAACCCUACCCCAAGAUAGCUCCAAGAAGUCCCCGAGGAAUAUCCUUGAGAGGAUUCCACACAGGAGUCCUCCUCCGUCGCAUCCUCUGUGUCAUCUUCCUUAAUUAAAAUCACAAAUGGGGCAUCUCUGCUGGCCCUUGUUGAGGCUAAGGCCAAGUGUUGUGCAACUGGGAUACGAUUUGAAGAUGACAAUAGAUAAGAAGACGAAGGCAGAUCAAAAGACGAUGCGGGAGAAGUAGGGGGAACAUACAUGUACUUGGGAGUAUGAGCAUUAACGAGGAUGAAUGGCAAUGGUAUCUCAAUAGGUGGUACAACAGGCAGUGCACCAAUGGGCAAAAGAGAAAGUACGACAUCACCAAAAAAAGCUAUCUUGGUCAGUGCCAUGAUGAUGAGCCAGUGCCCACCACCAGUCCUAAUGGUGAGAUGAAACAAUGGGUCCCUCUGCGUCUCCAUCUUUAGUUGAAAGACAAAAAGGGUAUGCCAUGCAUGGGCAAGGGAAAGAAGCAAUAGAGUUCUUUCAAAGGACUGUAUUGGAAGGUAUGAAGCCUGAUCAUGUUACUUUUGCUCUGUUAAGUGCUUGUAGCCACUCAGGGCUUGUCAAGGAAGGAAAGUACUACUUUCAAAUUAUGUCUGAUAUUUACGGAGUUAAACCCCAAUUGGAUCACUAUUAAUGUAUGGUUGAUCUUCUUGGCCACCAUGGUCUACUCAUUGAUGCUUAUCUAAUGAUAAAGGAUAUGCCAUUGGAGCCAAAUUGUGGGGACUUUAGGGUGCCCUUCUUGGUGCUUGUAGGGUUUAUCGUAACAUCAAUCUUGGGAAGGAAGCUGCAGAGAAUUUGAUUGCAUUAAAUCCUUCAGACCCUAGAAACUAUAUCAUGCUUUCCAACAUAUAUUCUGCUGCAGGUCUGUGGAGUGAUGCAUCAAAAGUGAGAGCUUUAAUGAAGACUAAAGUUUAUACUAGAAAUGCUAGAUGCAGUUUUAUUGCGCAUGGAAAAAAAAUCUGUUGUUUUGUGGUGGAUGAUUAUUCUCACCCUGACUCAGACAAAAUACACAAGAAGCUGGAAGAGAUUAUGAGAAAAAUUCAAGAGGUUGGUUUUGUGUCUGAAACUGAAUCCAUUCUCCAUGAUGUUGAUGAAGAGGUCAAAACAGAUAUGAUUAACAAGCAUAGUGAGAAGAUAGCACUUGCAUUUGGACUUUUGGUUAGUAAUGCUGAUAUGCCAUUAGUUAUAAUAAAAAAUCUCCAAAUAAGCCAGGAUUGCCUCAACACUGCAAAAUUUGUCUCGCUGAUAGAGAAGUGUACAAUCACUAUCCGAGAUUCAAAGCGAUUUCACCAUUUUUCAGAUGCAUCAUGCUCUUGUGGUGAUUAUUGGUAGUGAUCUCUGAAGGAGUUUGGAGUUGCAGGAAUGAUAUUGUCAUUGGUCGUAACUCAUAUGAGCAACUAGAGAGUUACAUGGUUUUCAGACUUCAAAGCAACACUUUGAUUCUGGCGGAAUUGUGAAGAAUUAAUGUAUGCACAGAGUUCCAAACAAAACGGGAAGAUGCCUGAUGCUGUUUAGCCUACUGGACCUAACUUGUUAAAGCCUUGAGAAAAAUAAGUAUCCUCAUAUUUUAGUACAUCAGAGGUUAUCUUUGCCCAUUUUAUGAUCAGGAUAUGUAAACUUUAAACUGUGAUGUUUGUAAUUUGUUAUACAGAAUAGAUUCUCUCGUGUGAGAUUUUCAUAUGACAAAAAUAUGUGAAGAGAUAGACACAGACACCAUGUCAAAAUAUAUGGGACCUUAUUUAAGUUUCUUGAAUUUAUCUUUCUCUUCAGUCUUCACAUGACCUUGUCAUGUAAAAAUCUCACAUGAGAGGAUUCAUUUCGCUUUGUUAUGCAUGUAAUUGUUCUGUCUCAGUUCUUGACAAACGAACAAUACUAAGCAUAAAAAAAUUGACAGAUGGCAGUAGUUGGAUAAGUUAGAGUUGAUGGAGCUACUCACUUACCUUUGCGUUGAUAACAAUGUCAACUUAUUAUGGCAAAAGAAUUCUGGUUAAUAAUUAUUUUCCUCAAUAAUUUUUGCAGAAUGUCAGUGCAGCAGUUGAACCACAAGCAGAAAGUACUCACAAUCAUCUUCAGUUUAGAACUGUGGAGGGCCAACAAACAGAAUAUCCAUGGAACGGACUCUGAGCUGUGGCCUUAUGGCUACAAAUAUGAAGUUUGACUCAAAUUACUGCUGUUUUUGGCUCUUUAUUCCAAAGCAUUCUUGUCCUUUCUUUCAAUUUUUCCAUUUGUAUGAACUAGUAAAACAUGAAAAAUGUUGGGAUAGGUAGUCAAAUUUGUACAGCAAUUUACAUCCUGCUUUACUUAGUCCUUAUAUUGCCUUAUUAGCAGUUAGGAAUAGAUAAUUUGACUGUGCAUUAUAGUACAAGUAGAUAACCAUAAGUAUUGAUGAAAAAAAAACCAAAUUUGUUGUUUUCUACUAAUCCAUGUACAUACGUAAUUUGUUUGGCAUAGUUAUAACUUUUUCA